rnacentral:rRNA from 1 species
UAAUACCGGAUAUUAUGAGAUUCUCGCAUGGGAAACUUAUGAAAGCUAUAUGCGCCAAGAGAGAGCCUUGCGUUCCAUUAGCUAGUUGGUGGGGUAACGGCCCACCAAGGCGACGAUGGAUAGCCGGCCUGAGAGGGUGAACGGCCACAAGGGGACUGAGACACGGCCCUUACUCCUACGGGAGGCAGCAGUGGGGAAUAUUGGACAAUGGGCCACAAGCCUGAUCCAGCAAUUCUGUGUGCACGAUGAAGAUCUUCGGAUUGUAAAGUGCUUUCAGUUGGGAAGAAGAAAGUGACGGUACCAACAGAAGAAGCGACGGCUAAAUACGUGCCAGCAGCCGCGGUAAUACGUAUGUCGCAAGCGUUAUCCGGAUUUAUUGGGCGUAAAGCGCGUCUAGGCGGAAAAAUAAGUCUGAUGUUAAAAUGCGGGGCUCAACUCCGUAUUGCGUUGGAAACUGUUUUUCUAGAGUACUGGAGAGGUGGGCGGAACUACAAGUGUAGAGGUGAAAUUCGUAGAUAUUUGUAGGAAUGCCGAUGGAGA